GCCUCCACCGCCUUCUUCCAGGAGGAGGGGCCGUGCGGCGCCUGCCCGGGGGCCCUCAGGCCGCAGGCGGGCGCGAGCUUCAGGGAACUUAGGGGGCUCCCGCCUCCCCGGCCACGCGAGCGGGAACAGUCUCCUCCACUCGGAGCGGUAAGGGACCCGGAAAUGCGCGGGUGCCCCUACAGAGUCUUGAGUUUUCCCCGCCCUCACCUCCGAAAAUGCUCUUUUCGCCUUAGAAUUGUAGCUAGCGCAGGGAAAAACUGACUGGGCAAAGGAAAACUGGGGAGGCUGUCAUGGAAGCCGCCCAGAAUAAGAAAAUGAAUGAAUGAGGCAAAGAAACAGAUUUGUCACUCCCCACGCGAUCGCGCCCACAAAAGAAAACAUGGUUUUAAGGCGUGGAAAAUGAAGUUGUACUACAGACAAAAUUUUAAGAAAAAAUUAUCCACUGUUCCUUUAGAGCUAUCUCCCUGUGUGUGAAAAACAAAACAAAAGUUAAAACGCCAUCCUUUUCUACACCUAAUGCUCCCUCCCACUUUUCUGAUUUCUGCCACAGGCGCCAUCUUCAGCUCUGAGUCACCAGGGCUGGAAAAAUACUAGAUGCGCUACUCGUGGACUCGUGAAUACACUCGUGAAUACAGGCCAUUUCCUGUACCUACAGCCACCCGCUGUAAGCUGUUGCUUCAUUUGUACAGUAAGAGUUUAUGGAGGCCAGCUUUUCCAUUCUUACUGACAUUGCCACACCUUACAAACUAUAUGUCUUGUGCUUCCCUAAAUCCUGUGAGGAAGCAACGAGAAAGAUUACUAAUCCAAUGCGUACCGAACUGAGCUGUUCAACUUUCCGUUCUAAACAUACUCUCCUAGAUUUCUAUCUUGCUGUAAGCCACCACAAUCCUCCCAGUGUUUUAGUAAGAACAGUAGAGUAUCCUAAAUGCAUCUUAUGCCAAAGCAUAUCCAUUCUCUCUUUUUAACUUCCUCAGAUGGGCCCUUUACCAGUUCUCUGACUCCAGUUUGACUCUUAAAUUCUCCACACUGCUAUCAGAAUGACCUGACUAAAAAUGUAAAUCGGAUAAUGGCACUCUCCUGCUGAAAAUUUUUGAAAGGCAAUCUGUAAGAGAAAAUGAUUACUUUGCCUAGGAUACAAGAUUCUCCAUCUCCCUGACUAGUUUCAUCUCUCGUUAGCUUCUUGUUCCAAUUUUAUGCAAUAUUGAAUCAUGUGUACCAUGCAGUUUUAUGCAACAUUGAAUUAUGUGUACCAUGAAAAACAAUCCAUAGCCUUUCACGCCCCGUCCUUACUCAUAUUGUCCUCUCUUCCUGAAAAUUCCUCCUUUUACACUCCUGCAUCACAGCCAAAUGUUGUCCAUCCUUUGAAUCUUAAGCAGGUUGACUGACUCCUUCAAACACUCCUACUCCCUAUUAGACUUCGGAUACUCAUUCUAUAUAUUAGACUUUGGAUGCUCAUUCUAUAGUUUCAUAGUUUACUUUGUAUUUUCUCUAUCCCCAGCAUCUACCACAGUGUCUAUGAAAUAGUUGGCAUUUCAUGAACAUUUGUUGAAUGAAUAAUGGAUAACAUAUAUUGAGCUCCUUCUAGGAGGUAUGCAUUGUAGGUGUUUUAUGUACUUUUCAUCUGUCCUCACAACUGCAUUUAAGUACCUGCUUUUCCAAAGGGAAGUUAUAACUCUGACUGCUCAUUCUUAGUAGGGUGUUAGUUUCAGAAUACAAUCCCCAGACUAGCGGAUGUGUAACCCUGUUAUCAUCUCUUGCUUCUCCAUUUACAGUAGCAUGCAGAGGUGCAGUGGGGUGGGGGAGGUCAGGGAAUAUUUCAUAGCAGAAGUGACAUUUAAGUAAAGACCAAAAUAAUGUGUAGAGUUGUCCAGGUUAGGAAGGGUUUCCAGGUAGAAGAAGGUGGCGUAUAGUGUUCACUACAAGAAAGUUUGGUAUAAUACAAGAACUGGAAGAAAAAAAAAAAAAGUUCAAGUUGGCUAACUAAAAGGUAGAGAAUGAGACUAGGGGCUUUUGGAGGAGACAAAACAAGAGAGUUAAACAAGCUAUGAAGAGACCCAGACAGUAUUGGUCAGUGGAAUACCACUAUAGAAUUUUAUGGAGUGAAAUUUUCAAAUUUUAAUAUCAUAAAGAUAACUCUGGCUGCAGGGUGGAGAACAGACAGGAAGGAAGCAAAUCUAGAUCUGGGAAUACCAUUUAAGAUGCCGUUGCUGUAAGCCAUGUAAGAGACAAAGGUGGCAUGGUCAAGGCUAAGAAAAAUCAGAAUGGAGAGAAAUGGACCAAUUUGAGAAAUUUUUAGGAGGUAAAAAUGUCAGGACUUAGUGAUUGAUUGGAUGGAAGAGUGAAUGAUAAGAAAUAAUAAAAAACGAUGACCAGCUGUUUUGCCUUCCCCUUGGCAAGUAAAGAGGUGGCAAGCAUGAAAGGGGAGUGAGGAAAUAAAUAUGUUGGGUCUAAUGGGAGCCAGGUUUCUCACUGACAGAGAAGGACGUUACAAAUUGAGAGAGGAAGAAUUCCACAGUGACCUUUGUGGUGAUGUUGAAUUGGAAUUGAAUAUGUCAGUGUCAACUCAUAGUUUUCAAUAUAUACAUAAACAUAUGUAAAAAUAAAUAUAGAGGAAAGUAUGUCUGUAUGUGUGUGCGUAUCUAUCUAUUAUGCUCUUCCUAGCUCUAUCUGCUGAAAGGGUUUCAGAGUAAUGGUAUACUAGAAGCAAUGAGCACAUGUGCCUAGAUCUUGGUUUCUGAACAGUAUUAUUCACUAAAAGUAACUGGGUCCCUUGGAGAAAUGGUUGAUUUUAGAACAGGAGCCUGGAAAAUUCUUGUUGCACCAGAAGUUAAGGAAGUUAAUACAGAAUGAAGAAACAUAUCAAAAGGUCACAGAAGCCAGCUUGAAGGAGCCACCACUGGCCACAUCUGGGUCAAUCUGAGCACCAAUAUAAUGUUAAUGGAUUAUAGUCCGCUAAAUAAAAUAGGAAUAUUUGAGCCCAUACUAAAAUGAAUAAAUGAUUUUUUUGAAAAAUCAGGAUAAAGAAAAGCUCUGCCUUACAUAAAAAUGCCAACUAAAUGUAAUGAAUGUAGACAGUGUUAUAUGUAGAAACAUCAUUAUUUGGCAGUCAUGAUAGUAACAGUUGAUUCAGACUAGAAUCAUCAGUGUAUGCUAAAACUAGAGGGUGAGAGUAUUAAGAGACAUAUAAUAUUUAUAUAGUCUCAAAGUAUCUCUCCAGCAAAUACUUAUUAAUUACACAGAGAAAAAUUAGAAAACUUGACAGUGUAGAAAUCUGGCACUGGUGAGCGAAGUUACCAUCAGCAGUCAUGAGACAAAUCAGCAUCGUGUAUGUCCUGGUUAGAGGCACUUAGAAUACACUUCUGUGACAUUCCUGCCAAAAAUGUGUAAUCCGAAUCAAUCGUGAGGAAAAAAUCAGACAACCCAAAUGUCCCAAAUUGAGGGACAUUCUACAAAAUAAUAGACCUGUACUCUUCAAAGAUCAAGGUCAUGAAAGACAAAGGAACAACUAAAGAACGUUUUUAGAUUGAAGGAGAAUUAAGAUACAUGACAAUUAAGUGGAAUACAUGAUUCUGAAUUGAAUCCUUUUGCUAUAAGGAUAUUAUUGGGACAACUAACAAUUUGAAUGGGGUCUCUGGAUUAGAUGGUAGUAUUUUAACAAUAUUAAUUUCCUGAUUUUGAUGACUAUAGUGACAUAGAUAUUUUUGGUUUUAGAAAAUACAUAUUGAAGUAUUAAAGGUGAUGAGGCUUCAUAUCUGCAACCUAUUCAAAUGGUUCAGGAAAAAAGUAUACAUAAAUACUGUAAAUAAAUAUAAACAUAAAUAAUAUACAUAAAGAAAAUGAUAAAGCAAAUGUUAACAGGGAAUUUGGGCGAAAGCAGAAGUUCUUUAUACUAUUCUUGCAAUUUUUCUGUAAGUUUAUAAUUAUUUUAAAACUAUAAAAGAAGUUUGAAAGGUGCCGAGGUUUCUGGCUCAGGUAACUGGGUGGAGAAUGGCUAAUCAGUUAACGACAAAAAAUCAGGAAGAGCAAGCAUGGAGGAAAAGAUGUUUAGUUGCAAUGGGAUGUAUGGAGUGGGAUGUUCAGCAGGCAGUUGAGUAUAUACUAAACAUAUUAAUGAGCCCCAUUCAAACUGAAUAAAGCAGAUAUGUUGCUUUAGCUCUCAUUAGUCGAGAGUGCAAGACCAAGGGCACUCCGCUAUCCUAGGAGAGGCAAACAAUUAAGAGUGGUAGUAUGGUAAUAAUUCUAAAAAUUGGCUGAGUAUCCAUGAAAAAAAUUGUGUGUAUAUAUAUAUAUAUACACACACAUAUAUGUAUAAACAUAUAUACACACAUAUAUGUAUAAAUAUAUAUCCACAUAUAUGUAUAUAUAUACACACAUAUAUGUAUAUAUACACACAUAUAUGUAUAAAUAUAUAUACACAUAUAUGUGUAUGUGUGUGUGUGUGUGUAUAUAUAUAUGUAUGUAUAUAAAUUGAACCGUUUAGGAAUAAAAUAGAUUUAGGGUAUUCGACACAUUUAAUACAUAAUGAAUAGUGAAUUUCUUGAAUAAUAUAAUGCCUAAAUGUGACUGAUAUGCAAAAUAUUUAAAUCCCUUACAGGAUGUGCAUUUACCAAUCAGAACAGAUGUUGGCUUUACUGCUUGUAUUAGUUUUCUGUAUUAGUUUGCUUGUAUUAGUUUGCUGGGGCAGCCAUAACAAAGUACCACAGAAAUUUAUAUUCUCACAAUUCUGGGGGCUAGAAGACUGAGAUAAAGAUGUCUGCAGGGUUGGUUUCUUCUAAGGACUCUCUUGUUGGCUUGUAGAUGGUUGUUGUCUCCCUGUGUCUUCACCUGCACUUCCCUCUGUACCUGCCCGUAUCUUAAUCUCUUCUUAUAAGGACAGAGUCAUAUUGGAUUAGGGCUCACCCUAAUGACCUCCUUUUAACUUAAUUACCUCUUUAGAGACUCUGUCUUCAAAUACAGGCACAUUCUGAGGUACUUUAAGGUUAGAACUUCAACAUAUGCAUUUGGAACUGGGGCAUAACUGAGUCCAUGACACUAUUGGAGAGGGUUCUGGAGCCAUAACAGAUGGAAUGAAUGGGCCUUGUUUGGAUUCUAAUUUAAAUAAACCAACUAUAGAAAAACAUGUUUUAGGCAAUCAGAUUUUUUGUUAUGGGCUAAAUAUUUAGAAGAUGUUAAGAAAUGUUUAUUAAUUUCAUUAGGUAAAAUAAUGUUGGUGUGGUUAUGUAGAGUAUGACUUACGUGCACAGAACAGAAUGAUAAGGUGUCCAGGAUUUGCUUUAAAAUAUUCUAGAUUUUUUUAAAAGGUGAGAGGAAAUGACACAUGUAUAUCUAAAUUUUGAUGGUUGUUGAAGCUGGCUGGUAGGUACCUAGUAUUUCAUUAUACUUUUUCCUUUGUGUGUUUGGAAAUUUUUAUAAUAAGCAGGAAAAAUAAAAGUAAGAAUAUAUGUAUUAUAGAUAAUUUGAAAUAUGUAGAAUCAUGAAAAAAAGGAAAAAAUACUCAAUACCACUACCCAAGAGAAUCUAAAUUAACUUUUUUGACAAAUUUCGUUUCAGUCUGUUUUCCAUGCGUAUUUUAAUUUUGGUCAUGUUGUGUGUAAAAUGUUUAUUUCUGCUUACUUGAAUGAACAUUAUGUUGCAAUUUCAUUUCCAUGCUAUUACAAUAGUGCCCCCUUAACCAUGGUUUUGCUUUCUGAGGUUUCACUCAACAAGCUUGGUUUGAAAAUUUUUAGAGAGAAAAUAAGAGAUUACAUUUACAUAAUAACUAUUAAUACAGUAUAUUGUUAUAAAAACUUUAUAUUGUUAUUAGUUAUUGCUGUUAAUCUCUUACUGGGCCUAAUUUAUAAAUUAAACUUUAUGAGAGGUGUGAAAGUUGAUUAUAGAAAUUGGGUCAUUCUUGUUGUACCCAACUAAAUCAGAGUGAAGGGCCCAGGGGAAAAAGCAUUUGGGGCAUAUAGCAUCUGCUCCAAGAAUUAAAUUUUCCACAAGCCCAGCUACUGAAACUGCCUGUUGUAAUCUGAAAUCAGUUUUAUCUGAUAGCUAAUGAAAUAACCUGCUGUGACACUAAGAUUAGUUUUACCCACUGCCAUCACUCGCCAAUCAGAGCUCGCCAGCUCCCCAAAUGUUACCCAUUGUUUCUUUGCAAAACAAUGGGUAACAUUUUUCCUUUUUAUAAAACCUCCAACCUGAUCUUUGUUUUUCAGACAUACUGAAGACCACCCAUUCUGUGUGUUUGCCUGGAAAUGCAAUUCUCAUUUCCCAAAUAAAAUGUUUGAAAUGUG
rnacentral:lncRNA from 1 species